CCAGGUCCCAAGUCCCAACCCCCGAUAAAACAUGUGUUUUCUCUCUCUAAAAAAAAGAGUACUCUGGAAAAUACCCAUCUCCCUCACGAGAUCUCACCCUAGAUUAAUCUAGCGCCGCCACUGCUCGCUGCCCCGGCAGGCCGGCCCUUCUCUCUCCGGCCACCUCUUCCCCUCCUCCUCCUGUUCCCCCAGGCCAUAGCGCUUUGCCCACUGCUCUCAUGGCGGCACUAGCGGUCUUGGCCCUGCCACCGAGAACCACGACGACCCACGACGGCACGACUCUGAUGCCAGGCGCCUCCUUCUGCCCCCCUGCGAGGGCGUUGUCCGUCGGCUCGACCAGGCCCUCUUCGGCCGCGGCACGUGUGGCUCGUUGGAGGCCAAAGGGCGGGUCACCAUGAGAUCUGUCAGCAGUCACUGAACAAAUUUGAUAACUCAAAGGUAUGAUGUUACUCCGUAUUUGUUAUUGCAGAUUCAUCAGCCGAGAAAUUAACAAAUAUAACCUGUUCAGUUCAUGUGUAAACACAAGAAAUUUUGCUCUUUCAAUGCAACGGUGAGAAUUUACCCAUACUGACAUAACAGAGCGUUGUAUGGUUAACUGACAUUCUCUUUUUACAGUUAUACUCGACUUUAUAUGUUAGUACACUCGUAUGGUAAAUUUCUGUUAUUUCCUUGCAGUCUUUCUCGAAAUCUUAAUUUAUAGAUCAGAGACAUAUAUAAACAAGAACGGGAAGUGUUAGUCCCAUUCUCCCCAUUUUCUAAUGUUGUGUCUUUUCUUACUGUAUUCAGAUAGGUUUCAGAGGACAAAACUAAUUGUUCCAGACUUCUGGACAGAUUUUGGAAGGGAAAUCUAACCCGUUUAUCCCGAGUCUAAUUCUUUUCAAUGGUCUCUCACAUUGGUCUCCAUCAAAGUCAUGUAUGUUGAACAGAACAAAUUAUGUGCAUAUGGUUUAGAGAACUGAACUUUCUGUGACCUCAUGUUCACUCUGAGAGAAAAACUUUAUUCAAGGAUGUUGAAGAAGCAAAAUAAAAGGUUGCCAAGGAAAAUAUAGAGGAACUGGGAAGAUGGGGGAGCUGAUGUAUAGGUUUCUCAAUGCAGAAACUACAAAGCUACUAGAUAGGUUUCGGCUAGUUACAAUUAGCUAGAAAAAAUAUUCCCAAUGACAUGUAAUUUUUUUUACCUUCCUGCUGUACAAACCAGUUGUAAAGUACAUGGGAGUAUAAUAUUAUUUU